GGAAGGGUGCCAGAGCGGCCGAAUGGGACGGUUUCGAAAACCGUUGAGGGGUCAAACUCUCCGGGGGUUCAAAUCCCCCUCCUUCCUCCA
rnacentral:tRNA from 2 species